UUCAUCAAACGAGGAAAUUUAACACUAUCUUAGGACACCUCCUUACACAGCCCUAAAGCUGUGGAUGAGAGAUAUUUGGAUCUGAUGAUGAA